AGUGAACGCUGGCGGUAGGCCUAACACACGCAAGUCGAACGGCAGCACAGUAAGAGCUUGCUCUUACGGGUGGCGAGUGGCGGACGGGUGAGGAAUACAUCGGAAUCUACUUUUUCGUGGGGGAUAACGUAGGGAAACUUACGCUAAUACCGCAUACGACCUACGGGUGAAAGCAGGGGAUCUUCGGACCUUGCGCGAUUGAAUGAGCCGAUGUCGGAUUAGCUAGUUGGCGGGCUAAAGGCCCACCAAGGCGACGAUCCGUAGCUGGUCUGAGAGGAUGAUCAGCCACACUGGAACUGAGACACGGUCCAGACUCCUACGGGAGGCAGCAGUGGGGAAUAUUGGACAAUGCGCGCAAGCCUGAUCCAGCCAUACCGCGUGGGUGAAGAAGGCCUUCGGGUUGUAAAGCCCUUUUGUUGGGAAAGAAAAGCAGCAGGUUAAUACCCCGCUGUUCUGACGGUACCCAAAGAAUAAGCACCGGCUAACUUCGUG
rnacentral:rRNA from 1 species